CUUUGGGGUGACGGGUGGCGCAAUGGGAUCAGGUGCCUCAAAGGGCAUCACAUCUGAUCCCACAGCCUCACCCAUCACCCCAAAG
rnacentral:pre_miRNA from 1 species